rnacentral:lncRNA from 1 species
UCCUUGUUUGCCUGCUUUCUUCCUUUGUGGUCUUUUUUCUUGUUAGAAGAUCAAGAUGGGACCUGGUGGUCCAGGAGGACCUGGUGGCCCUGGUUGGUUUCCUCUGCCUGGUGGCCCCCCAGGUUGGGGCCCUGGACCUGGAGGACCGUUCGGAGGACCUGGCUGUUGUGGCCUCCUAGGCUCAUGGUGAGUUAUGAUAGACCUUGGAACCUGAGGUAUACUUAGAUGGGGUGGGACUUGUUAAUGCAAGGUCAUUCAGAAAAGUUCACUUUAGGCUCUUUCCAUCUCCUGUCUUUGUUAUUCCCCUCUAAAACCUCUCCUGCAUUUAGAUUUCAUCAAAGCAUUUAAAAAAAAAAAAUUACUUACCUUAAAUUUUUGUUUUUGUUAUAUGGCCAUCAUUUGGCAGUGGAAACAUGGUUUAUGUGAUUGGCAUUUACUGUUGGACUCAGCCAUUGAUGUAGAUCUAUCUCAUAAUAUUAUGACUUCUAUGGAUCUGAAAUUUCUCCCUGUAGGUUGAAGAUGUCCUUCUGUGACGCUAACUUUUUUUUUUUGGCAG